ensembl:lncRNA
CAAUAUUCUCACUCCCCGGCAUUCCCUAACUUUUAACUCUGCUUUAUUUUCCUCUCCAGCACACUGUCAUCACCUCUCACACCACACAUUUAUUUGUCUUCAGGUUGAAUGCAAGAUCCUUAAGAGCAGAGAUGCUGCUGUCGCUGCCAUAUCCUAGGGCCUGGGACAGAGCUGGACACAGCAGGAGGUCAAUAAACACAAAGGACACAUGGAUGACAGGAGCCAGCUUUGGACUGGAAUUUUACAGAUGAGUGGGCCUAGAAUAAAACAAGAAGUCCUCACCCCCAACCUUCCCCCAUCCUCAAUAAACACAAGGAGCCCAGCCAGAAGCCCAUCUGCUGGUUAUUUCUCUGAGAAAUUCUGCUGGCUGUGCAAGAAGGGAAACCUGUUUGCUCAUCAGGCCUUGAAACUUCUUUAUGACUAAACAGCUGUGUGAUGCAUUGGAAAAAUCCAGAGUAUUUCAC